GAUUUUUCUUCAACCAAAAUAGUAGAAAUAUGAAUUAAAAAACAUUUUUUUACAAACAACUUCAGAUAAGAAAAUUUGGUUGUUGGCUUUCCAAUUAGCAAAAAAUUGCAAUGUGGUCAAUUUAAGUUAAAUGUUUGACAAUGUCAAAUUCAAGAAGGUUGAUUGCUCAUUUUAUAAAUUUAAGGGCUUGAUUAAUAUUAACUGCAAGUUUGAUGACUAAGAGUGCCUUCUUCUGAAUCCAAAAUUUUUGUG
rnacentral:misc_RNA from 1 species